GCCCCGGGAGAGGGGAGAGUGGGGUGAUGGGGGUGCUUGUGGCGGAGAGCCUAGGAGUGGGCGAAGGGGCGAGUCUGCGGGAGAAGGGAGGGCGGAGGGGGCGGGGUGAGUCGGGGUGCUAGGGGGUGGGGGCAGGAGCUCAGGUGCCGGACCCUCCAGCGCGGCCUGGGACGCGCCCGCUUGCUUGCUGCGGGGGGAGGUGGGCAGACAUGAAGCCCCAGGCAGAACCGUGGAUAAUCCGUUCUCCCGGGUGCAGGAAUUUUCCACAGACGCGAGUGGUGUGAGUUAAUUUAUUAGAAGGCGGUUCACGGCCCGAGGGUAAAUGGGCGGCGGGGGUGUAAAUUGCUUCGUUUCGACCGUGAGAUCUUCAGGUGGAUGAGAGGAAGGCGUGGGGCGGGGAGACAGCCUUCCCCCAGGCCUCUCCGGGUCCUCCAUCCUCUUCCCAAAAGGAGGCCUGAGGAAGGGGCGUCUCUGUUAGGCCCUCUGAGGUCCCACCGGACGGAGAGGCUGGGCCUGCGCGCGGUCCCUUCAGCGCGGUCUCUGACGCCACAGCCGGUGGCCCGGGAGCCGAUGACUCACCCCGGCGGCUAAUUACAGCGUUAAAUAACUUUGCGCUGGAUCCCGGAGAGGCCGGCGUGGAUACAGCGAGGGGACGCGGGUGCGCGCGCGCGUGCAGGGGUGCUGUGAGAACACACCUCCGUUCCUGCCACCCACUUAGCAAGUUCUGCUGUGGGGACACCACCAGAGUGCGCAGCUUCAUGGCCUUCACGCGCAGUGUCGGUUGGUGUCUGGUGAGCCUGGGCACAGUCCCAGGUGGCCCCUCGAGCCGGACAAAGCCGCAACCCCAUCGAGAGGCAGCCCGCGCGCAGGGGCCCCUCGCCCACUUUCACGGAAACCAUCUGCCCGGUGAAUCUGCAAAGUUCCCUCCUUGGCUCUGCACAGUCGCGUGGGACUGACUUGAAGUGCGAUCGCUGCAGGAAGGAGCAGGUUUCGCUGUAUUUUUAGCAGGGGCUGCAGAUUUUAGAACCGCGCCUGGACCUCCUCGUUCUGUCCUCCGCACGCGUGAUGACUUUCCAGAACACUAAGGAUAUCGAGCCUUCUUUUCCAUUUGUGGUGUAUGGGUUUUUAAAGGACGUUGUGUAAAUCAGCUUGUCUGAUCAUCAGCACCCACGCGCGGAGUUGCCAUGAGCUGCCUUCUGAUGAUUAUUUCGGUUUCCAGGGCAACGAGGUUUGCAGCCACCUCCGUGCAGAAAGAUGGAGCAGCCUCUCCAUUCCCAGCACAGCCGCUGAGGCCAGAUCGAUUAGGUUUUGGGGGCGGAAGCGCGCGGACGUCGGCUCUUCCUCCGCCGAGCGGGUGGGGGCGGGGCCGGGAGCGCUGGGGACCACUUGUGAGGUCCAGGGUCUGAGCGAGGCUGGUCGGCUAGGCAGCUCCUCCGCGAUCCCGCAGCUCUCUCCUACCACGCCCCCCCACCCUCCAGUACACACUUCCAUCCUGAACACGUCCCCGCCCCCACACUCGCCCCACGUCUUCCUGCCACAGCGCCCUCGCACGUGCUGAUCCCUCUUUCUGCUGUGCAUCCCUGUGGCUCAAGCUCCCCGGUCGGGCUCCUGCCUUCCCAAUUCCUUAGAUCUUAGCUUCAGCUCAUCUCACAGGAACUGGCUUCUGUCGGGUGCCCACGGUCCCCCGACCCUCAUGAGCACUUUGCCUGUUAUCCUCAGACGAUUCCCAUGAAUAAGCCCCGGUGGAGCCAGGAUUCCAACCAGGCUCUGUACACCGCCUCCCUGCCGCCCGCCUCCCUGCAUCCCUACCCCUUGGCACAGGGUCCCCAGGUGUUCUGAGUGUUCCCCACCAGGUAGGGAGCUCAGUGCAGGCAGGUCCACGUCCAGUUUGCCCCACACACACACACACUCUGCUUUACCUGAGCUGCAUGGAGCGAAUGACUGAAUGAGUGGACAGCCAACCUUGGGUCGCUCUGACCUGUGACAGAAUCUAAAUGUCACUUGGGUUCUGCUCACAGGGAGGACAGGGACAGGUGAUAGGCCAGGCAGGCAGCCAGGAGAGGCGCCCUCCUCCGGGUGAGGGGAGGGAGGGAAGGCCGUUGGGGAGGAAGCCAGAAGAGGGGUCAAUAAAGGCGUGGUGGGGGCGGGAAUUGAGAAAAGCUGGAGGCAGACAGUGACCAGCAGGUGCCCUGUCCUGGUGGGUCUUCAUCCUGAGGAUGGGGAGAUUGGAGAGGGUCAGGAGACACCCUGUGUUUUAGGAGCACUGGCGCAGGAAGGCUGCCUGGGAUGGUGGCAUGCUGGGGGGGCGGUCCUGUCCCCAUUAGGGUGCUGGUGGCCUUUACUGCCACCUUUGCUUUGCCGCUGCCCCACUCACUGCCUGGCACUCAGCAGGUAGUCAGCUGUCUUCCCACAGUGAGUGCCUCUGUGUCUGCAGGAUGGAGCGGCAGCAGUUUGUGGUCCUGUCAUACAAAGCGUCCUUUAGGGUGUCUGUUGGGCUCACAGGGCCUGUGGAACUGUGUGUUUCACAGGGAGGGCCUCUGCUGCUUUCUCAGCCCUAUAACCAGGGCUGUGAAGUGAAGCGGCUCCUGCACAUUGGGAAGCAGAUUCGGUGGCUUUAUGCAGGAAUCCUUAGCCCCCCACCCCAGGCUGACCUGGGAGAACUCUUCCCUCCCAGCCACCUGCAGCAUUGCUCCCCACCCCCUAGUUCCUCAGCUGGCCAGAGGGAACCCCAGAGCAGAGGUCUAUAGCCAAGUGAUUUGAGGUGCUCACUCCGGAAAGAAACCACCUUAGUGAAAACUGACUUUCUAUAGGUCGCUGGGGAAUGAGGAAUUGUUUUAGAAAUCACAGAGCCCACCACAUGCACAUGCCCUGCACGUUACAGGGACCCUACAGCAUGACCACAGGGCUCUCUCCUCACUAUGUCACUCCCCCCCACCCCCCCGUUGUAAAGAUGGGAAACAGAGCCCAGAGCUUACAUUUCUAAACCAUCAUGUGUGUUUUUCUGAUCACAACAGUGAUCAUGUCAAGUGAAGAAUAUUUUCCCUAUCAUUUUAAAAUCGCAUUUUGCUAUUUACAUUUAAAAUCCAAUCUCCUAGAGUAUAGACUUCAAUUAAUUUGGUCGGUUCUAAUUAUUUUUGGUAAUUUAUCAUUUAUUUUUCGCUUUUUAAUGCUUUAUCUUUUUUUUUUAAGAUUUUAUAGGGGAUGGGGAACAGGACUCUAUUGGGAACAGUGUGUAUUUCCAGGACUUUUUUCAAAGUCAAGUUAUCCUUUAUCUUUUUAUCUGGCUAAAUACUCAAACUUUCUCUUCUCACUAAUUCUCAGACCUCUUUUUCCAGGAACGAUAGUAUUCAUCUUCUCUUACAGACAUAGUGUGCACUUCUCUGUGCCAAGUCUGCGUAGGUGACAAUCUGAAGACCUCACUCUAACAAAACCAGAGCCAGUCAGUUCUUGAAGACGCAAGAAUGGACUUUAUUGUUUUAAAAGCUUUUGUCCUGUGAAAUAAGGUCCACAGAAAAAUCCAUCAAAUAUACACGGAACAGCUCAUGGACUUGUGAAUGAGCAUCUGUGUACUUGCCACCAACUCAGGAAACAGUAUGAGACAUGGGCACCUCCCUCCACACAGACGCCCUGCUGACUCCAUUUGAAAGCUCUUCCUUGGGUCUGUACUGUACCGCCAGGUGUGCGCUCUGAACACUUCUGUUUGGGAUGCUUGUUUGCUGACCUUUAUCUAAACGGAACAUUACAGCACAAUUGUCAUAUGUCUGGCUUCUUUCAUUCAACUUGGCGUCUGUGAGGCUUGCCCGCUCUUGUACGUGUCUGUAGUCGCUGACUCUCACUGCUGGAUCCAGGGCCAUUGUGUGAAUAUGCAAGGAUUUAUUUAGCCAUUUUACUGAUGCUGUGCAUUUGAUUUUUUCUAGUUUGGGGAUAUUCUGAAUAAAGCAGUUGUGAACUUCCUUAAACGUGUGCACGGAUGCACUUGGGCGUAUAUUUGUGAGAUCCUACGUAAUAUCGAAGUUCAGCUUUUUAUGCCCUUUUUUAAAUUGAGAUACAGUUUACGUAACUGCCACAACAAGCACCCAUUUUAAGUGUGCAAUUCAAUGAGUUUAGACAGCUGUAGGCGUCAGUAUAAGUCACCCCCACAGUCACGCGGGGCUGUCGCAGCCCCCACAGCUUCCCCUUGGCGUCUUCCGUCCUCCACCCCGGGCCUCACACAACUGCCCAUCUGUGUGCUGCUGCCAUAGUUUUAGUACAAGAUGCCACACACCUAGAAGCAUAAAGUAUGUAGUUUUUAUGUCUGCUUUCAAUUGGCAGAAUGCUUUGUUUUUAUUCAUUUUAUUCAGUUUUUACUACUGAGUAGAAUUCUACCGAUAACUGUUUAUCCAUUCACAGAAUGGUGGACACUACAGCUCUUUUCUAUUUGGAGCGAUGACUAAAGCUGCUGUUCACAUUCAGGUACACAUCUGUUAUGAACGUGUGUGUGAAUCGAUAGAAGUGCGAUUGCUGGGUUGUAUCGGGCUUUACAUUGAACUUCAGAAGAAACUGACAGACGGUUUUCCGGAGUGGCUGUCCCCACCGCCAGGUUGGAAAGUUGCAGGCACCCCGUCCCCUCGACAGCCUUCCUGAGGUGCUCUUAGUGUUGGCCAUUCUGCUGGGCUCGCAGUGGUGUCUCGUGGCUUGAAUUUGCAUUUCCUGCUCACGAGCCAUGGCGAGGCUCUCCCACAUCUUCUUUGUGAAGAGGUUUUGUAGUUUUUGCUGUUACACGCAUCUGUGAUCUACUUUGAUUUAAUUUUCAUGCAUGGUAUGAAGUAAUGUCCAAGGGUCUUACACAUGAUGUCCAGCCGUUCCACACCUUUACCAUUAACCACCUUGGCACUUCUAUUGAAGAUCAAUUGUCUGUAGAAAUGUAGGCCAUCAUGCACAGCCCUGAACAGACACAGGGCUGAAGAGAGUGAGAAGCCUUCAUCCCUGAUCUCAGUGGGAAACCAUUUGGUCUUCAGUCAUCAAGUCUGAUGAAGACGCAACACAGCCCAGCACUGGAUGGGACGAGCUUCACUCACAGAGAAGUGAGAGAGCUAUGUGCCUGUUGCUCCCUGCUGGCCCGCGAGCCCCUCCCGGCAGCUGACCCAUGGCCGUUAGCCUGUAUGCACCCCUCUUGUGCUGGAGAACCGUGACGGGGGGAGCGGGGCGGGGGAGACUGCAGGUGGCUGCAGUUCCCAGCACUCCCGUGGACCCUCCUGUUUACACUCGGGAAUGUGAUUUGUUAUUACUUUGUUGAGGAUUUUUGUAUCAAUGUCAAUGAGAGGUAUUACUUAUAGUUUUCUUGUAAUGUUUCUGUCUUAUUUUGGUGUCAGGAUGAUGCUGACUUUAUAAAAUGAGUUGGGAAGGGCUCCCUUAUUUUCUGAUUUCUGUAAGGGUUUGUGUAGAAUUGGUAUUGUUUCUUCCUUAAGUGUUUGGUAGAGUUCAUUUGUGAAGCCAUUUUGAGUUACAGUUUUCUUUCUGGUAUGAUUUUAACUAUAAACUUCAUUUUUAGAAACUGGUACAGGGUUGGGGCCGCCGGUUAGCUCAGUUGGUGAGAGUGUGAUGCUCGUAUAAUACCAGGGUUGCCGAUUUGAUUCCCACGUGGGCCAGUGAGCUGCACUCUCCACAAUUAGAUUGAAACAACUACUUGACUUGGAGCUCGAUGGGUCCUGGAACAACACACUUAAAAGAAAUUUUAAAAAGUUUAAAAAAAA